rnacentral:lncRNA from 1 species
CAUUUGUGUUGUUGUUGACGCCGUUUUUUCUCUCCGCGCUGACAAGUUGACUGGGAUUCUGAAUUUCUUGAGGUGGUUCUUCACUGUGCUCAAACAAGCCGCAAAGCAUACUAAUUUGAGAUUUUACUGCACUAAAUUCAUCAAAAUCAACAACAAAAGUGGAUUGUCUCACUGCAGGCCGCGGAGACAUCUAGUUCAUUUUUUACACAGUGGACUGAACGAAAAUGCCAGGCGAACUCCACAGUCGAGGCGCAAGUACUGCAAAUAGAGCUGCACACAGGUAAAAUCCUUAGUCGUCCACAAAUCAUGCAUGCCUUUUCGUUUGUAGACCAGUUUUCGAACUACAAGAAGAUAAGUUGGCUGAACCUCAUGCCGGGGGCACCAAACAAACUGCAAAGAGGAAUUAACGAGCUGCAUUAGAAAUUUUACUGCACUGAAUUCACAGUGCACUGAACGGAAACCGUUCUGCACACCUAGGAGGGAGGGAAGGGAAGGGGCGGCGGAUGGAUCUUGGCAAGAUGGGGGUCACCAGUACCCGCGAACCACAAGUCACACACCAUCGUACUCCUCGUCGUUUUUGUCAGCUCCACCGCACUGUACAUCUACGCACCGCCGAACUGCACACAGGAAACG